rnacentral:lncRNA from 1 species
AAUUUUUGAAACCUUCUUCAACCCCAAACUGUAAACUACAUCAUGUUGGUAUAAAAUAAAGAGACAUAUUUCUGAUUUUGUCCACGGUGACCAUGUCCAUUUUAUUAAACAUUUAUUUGUACAAACUUAAUCAUCAAUAAUUUUUAUUGUCCACCAAAACAUUGGAUUCACUGAAUGCAAAUACGUAACGUCCACUAAAUAAACAAAAUCAUGGUACACUGGCCUUACAGAACAUCUAAAAAUUAACAAAUAUUAAAAUUAGUACACAUCCAAUUAAUCUCUGAACUACAUAACAAUUCUACACUACUGUAAUAUGUCUACACUGUAGUAGUAAUCAACGUGGUCACCGCCUAACCUCGAUAACUGAAAAACGUGCUCCUUUUCUUAUAUAAUAAUAAUAUACUACCCGCGAAAUCAAAACCGGUUCUUACAAUAGGUAUUAGGCGUCUAAAAAUAACUACGCGUAGAGCACAUAAAUAUAUAAACUUGCAUAAUGAUAUAGCUUAAUUGAUCUCUAUAAUUUAAAGUGAAAUUGGUUAAAUGUUAUGGAACACCUGUUUCACAAAUGACCAUGUGUAUGUUUCAUAUUCUGUGACCACAUGUAACCAUCCUCCUAUUUUCUUUACUUCUAAAAGAAAACAAGUUAUUCGAGACUUACUCUUUACGAGCAAUACAUGUACACCAUGUGGUAUUCAAUAAGUAGAAGGUGACUACUCAUCCGGGUAAUUUCCUCACCAUUAUUUGUAGGAUUCAGUCACUUAAUCAUAGUUUUAUAAAUAGAAUGAACUACAUAUUUUAAUGUGUGUGUUUUUUUUUAUCGUGUUGUGUCUGUGUUUUGUCUAGCUUUCGACUUUAGUCGAAAAAGCGAGACAUAUCGAUUCUAUUUUUUGUCAGCGUCGUCGUCGGCGGCGUCCACAAGUAUUCACUCUGUGGUUAAAGUUUUUAAAAUAUUUAAUAAUUUUAUUAACCUUAACUAGAUUUCUUCAAAACUAGUACAGAAGCUUGUCUAUCAUCAUAAGAUAGUAUCCAGAUGUAAAUUUAGUAAAAAGAAAAUAAUUAUUUUCCCACAUUUUACUUAUAAGUGGACUUAGUUUUUCUGCCAGGAAAC